rnacentral:lncRNA from 1 species
AACACCGGCAACGCUGGGCCAAUUGUGCACUGCCCCAUGGGUUUCCCAGUCGCGGCCGGCUGCAACAGAGCCUGGACUCGAACCAGGAUCUCUAGUGGUCCAGCUAGCACUGCAAUGCAGUGCCUUAGAUGACUGCGCCACUUGGGAAGCCCGGGCGUGACGUUUUGAUAACCGUGUAAAUCUCUCUGACAAGGUGACUUUUAUCAAUAGUCUCCUGUAUUUACCCCCCAAAAAUGAAAUACUAAAGUAGUUGCUAAUAUGGCUAUCAUACAGAACUACACCUCAUGUUGCAAGCUUUGAUGUCAUCACUCAUGGCAGUGUUGCAUGCAUUUUCCAACCUCUGUAAGCGAGCGGCGUCGCUGGAGCCAUGUGGUAAGGACAAUGACCCAAAACACACCUCCAGGCUGUGUAAGGGCUAUUUGACCAAGGAGAGUGAUGGAGUGCUGCAUCAGAAGACCUGGCCUCCACAAUCACCUGACCUCAACCCAAGUGAGAUGGUUUGGGAUGAGUUGGACCACUGAGUGAAGGAAAAGCAGCCAACAAGUGCUCAGCAUAUGUGGGAACUUCUUCAAGACUGUUGAAAAGCAUUCAUCAUGAAGCUG